GGAGUUGUGGCUCAGCGGUAGAGUGCUUGCCUCCCAUGUGGGAGAACCUGGGUUCCAUCCUCAGCACCA
rnacentral:tRNA from 1 species